AAUGAACGCUGGCGGCGUGCCUAACACAUGCAAGUCGAGCGAGAAAGUGGCUUCGGCCAUGAGUACAGCGGCGAACGGGUGAGUAACACGUGGAUAACCUGCCUGGAAGUGGGGGAUGACUCAGGGAAACUUGUGCUAAUACCGAAUGUGCCCUUCGGGGGAAAGAUUUAUCGCCUUUAGAGCGGCCCGCGUCUGAUUAGCUAGUUGGUGAGGUAAAGGCUCACCAAGGCGACGAUCAGUAGCUGGUCUGAGAGGAUGAUCAGCCACAUUGGGACUGAGACACGGCCCAAACUCCUACGGGAGGCAGCAGUGGGGAAUCUUGCGCAAUGGGCGAAAGCCUGACGCAGCCAUGCCGCGUGAAUGAUGAAGGUCUUAGGAUUGUAAAAUUCUUUCACCGGGGACGAUAAUGACGGUACCCGGAGAAGAAGCCCCGGCUAACUUCGUGCCAGCAGCCGCGGUAACAC
rnacentral:rRNA from 1 species